CUACGGGUCGCAGCAGUGAGGAAUAUUGCACAAUGGGGGGAACCCUGAUGCAGCAACGCCGCGUGGAGGAUGACGCAUUUCGGUGUGUAAACUCCUUUUAUAUGUCAAGAAAAUGACGGUAGCAUAUGAAUAAGCACCGGCUAACUCCGUGCCAGCAGCCGCGGUAAUACGGAGGGUGCAAGCGUUACUCGGAAUCACUGGGCGUAAAGGGCGCGUAGGCUGUUUAGCAAGUCAGAUGUGAAAUCCAAUGGCUCAACCAUUGAACUGCAUUUGAAACUGCUAGACUAGAGUAUGGGAGGGGCAGAUGGAAUUAGUGGUGUAGGGGUAAAAUCCGUAGAUAUCACUAGGAAUACCUAAAGCGAAGGCGAUCUCCUGGAACAUUACUGACGCUAAGGCGUGAAAGCGUGGGGAGCAAACAGGAUUAGAUACCCCGGUAGUC
rnacentral:rRNA from 1 species